UACGAAGGGGGCUAGCGUUGUUCGGAAUUACUGGGCGUAAAGCGUGCGCAGGCGGCUUCUCAAGUCAGGGGUGAAAGCCCAGAGCUCAACUCUGGAAUUGCCUUUGAGACUGAGUGGCUUGAGUACGAGAGAGGUGAGUGGAAUUCCCAGUGUAGAGGUGAAAUUGUAGAUAUUGGGAAGAACACCGGUGGCGAAGGCGGGCUCUCU
rnacentral:rRNA from 1 species